rnacentral:rRNA from 1 species
GAUGAACGCUAGCGGCAGGCCUAACACAUGCAAGUCGAGGGGUAACAUAGAGUGCUUGCAUUCUGAUGACGACCGGCGCACGGGUGCGUAACGCGUAUACAAUCUACCUUAUACUGGAGAAUAGCCCAGAGAAAUUUGGAUUAAUGCUCCAUAGUAUGUAGAGUUCGCCUGGACACUAUAUUAAAGGUUACGGUAUAAGAUGAGUAUGCGUCCUAUUAGCUGGAUGGUGUGGUAACGGCACACCAUGGCGACGAUAGGUAGGGGCCCUGAGAGGGGGAUCCCCCACACUGGUACUGAGACACGGACCAG